GAUCUUCCAUGGCGCCGUCCUCCCUGUCUUCGGAGGCAGCCCCUUCCUCACCUUGCAACGUCAGGCACUGGAGAAUUUUCCUGGCCUGGGCCGAGCCUCUGGGGCAAUCCCAGCCCUCCCUGGAGAGAGGGCGGAGGAAGCCGCAGUUACGGGGAUCCACCUGCAGGGGGACCCCCUCCCUUGCUCAGGGAGCGGUGAACCCGGGUUCCAGUCCUGGUGACAGGCGGCCGUUUGGUACAUGCUCCCCGCCCCCCGCCUCCGCCGUUGGUGCAAUAUCGGUUGGGAGUGGUUGCACCUUGUGCCACUGAGUGUGGCCUUGGGGACUUUCUCAGCCAAGCCUGUUCUGGGUUUUGGCCUCCUGGGGUUUUCUGUAGCAGGCUGAGAUGCUAUGCAUGGCGCUGGCUGGUAAACAAUCUUCUUAUUAACGCGGGUGGGUGUCUGGGGACAGCUCAGAGCAAGCCGGAGCCUCAGGCCUGCCGGGCAGAGGGAGAUGGUCCCAGCAAGCGCAGCCAGCCUGCAAUCUGCGACUGAGCUACAUCUGAGCAACCAGAGGGAUCAGAAGAAGAAGAAGAAGAAGAAGAAGAAGAAGAAGAAGAAGAAGAAGAAGAACAGGGCUGCCACUAAACUCAAGCCCUCUAAGAUGAUGCCAACGCACAAGGAUAGAGCUGUACUCAGAACACGGACAGAUCAGGCGGGGUCACGGUGAACCAGUCUUCCAGAAGGCACAGGCCUGUUCUUGGCAACCUCUGAGAGAACAGACCGAGGAACUCAAAGUCCUGACCUUGAGCUGCUCCCUCUGGGGUAAACGGCCCGCUCCACUCCCGGGUCUGAACAACCAAUGGGGCUCCUGGCCAAGCCCUGGGGAGGUGCGGCCGUUUACCCAAAGGUUAAUGUUAACCCGGAGAACUGGCCGCACUUGACCCUUGCAGCUGCGAGUCCUCUGGGACCUUUGAGCCGUCCUUGCCCAGGUGGGGAGAACAGGCCGGGUGCUCAGAUCUCUCUCCCUCAGAGAGAGCAACUGAAAGAGAGGGAAAGCGACAAACUGCUUCCCCAAGCGGCUGAGGCCCCAAGGCCGCUUGCUGCAGUCCUGCAUUCCAGGGCCCUGGGGAUGGCGGCCCAGACACAGGCACGAGUGACAGCAGCAGUCCCUGGGAGGACCAAGUCUGCUUUGUCCCUGGUCUCCUUUCUUCCUCUCUCCCUACCCACUCCUCCCUGUUUAAUGCCCAAGGCCGCAUCCUGCUGGCUUCUCUCCAAAGGCUGCAAAUAUCUCCUUCAAAGGUUUCCUGCAGGGGCCCAGAGCCUGAAUCUCCUGGUAGCUCACAACUCAUAGAAAUGUUCACUUGGCUCUUGGAGGUGCAUUGUUAUUGCUAUAGUUGUUCAAUAGAAGUAGUUGCCAAUAACUAGAAAAUGCAGAUUUCGCAUCAAAAAACCAGAUUUCUUUUCUUUUCUUUUCUUUUUGGAGACACAGUCUCACUCUGUAGCCCAGGCUGACCUCAAACUGGAGGCGAUCCUCCUGCUUCAGCCUCCUGAGUGCUGGGAUUACAGACAUAUGCCACCAAGCCUGGCUGUGCUAUUUUAUUUUUAAGUAUCAGCCUUGGGUCCUUUCUAUACAGUGAAAACAGUCUCAUUCUCUUACAAGACUUGCUCCUACUUCUGACCUACUUGCCAGGCCAUAGAGUCUAUCCAGAAGCAUGUUACAGACACAAUCCCUCGCCCUUGAGAUACCCUUCGAGACAGUCUUUCUGCUUCUACAGAUGAGAAGCUCAGGCAUUGUAGGGCACCCCUGGGCUUGGAGCGGGCCUGGAGAUUGUGGGCCCCUAAGAAUCAGUGAGUCCCACACCACUUUCCUCAACGCCAACUGCUUCGCAGUUCCUACUCCCAACCAGGGGCUUGGAUCGCCUGGACUUCCAUAAACAAGGCCAACUGUACUGUUA